AGGCAAUUCAGGCAUUUCCUGCAUUUCCCAAGACCGCCCUGGCUUGCCACGCCCCUAUAAUGUGCCUUUAAAAGCCCAAGACCGUCGCUAGGCACAGACGGAAGUGACUGGAUGUAGAGAGGAGUGUAUCCGCGAAGGAACGCACGAGUGGCCUGACCUGCAGAAGAACGCUAGCUACGCACUAGGCAUGCUGGCAGGUCAGCUGAGAGCUGACCCCAGUGCAACGUGGAGGAGUUUGGUUGGGGCAGUCGGAGGAGCUCCUGGGCCGCCAAGCGGCCAGACUUCGGGGGAAAGCCAUCUCUCUUCUGGCGCCUUUAUCGGCUGAGAACUACUUGUACUCAAAACCUUGCACUCAUUCUCUAAGCCCACGUGGGUAAGAUUCACCCACACUGCGGAGGGCGUCGGAGCUCCACAGCCUGCCCGUCUGUAUGCUCCCGUAGAGGUUUGAGCAGCGGGGCACUGGAGAAGCAAGUCACACCCCCAUUGCACGCCAUGGGAGUAGGACAAGAAUUCUAGUUUUCAGUUCUGUAACGAUGGGCAGAUUUUCCAUGACACGACUAAAGUCCAGCGCCAGUGCCACUUCUCCCAUGAUGCUUCCCGUUCUCUCUUGUGUCCACCGAGGCCCCGUGGCUUUUCCUUGAAACUUCCCCGUGGCCGUCAUCGCGUGCCUCAUCUUGUGUCACAGUUAUCUGCGCAGCAGAGAAAAAGGAGCACAGACUUCACAGACAGACAGAUUGGGCUCAACAUGCACCUGGGCCUUGAGGAGAAUCUGCCUGUGCAGGGAGGCUCGCAUGCUGACCACGAGCAGACGGAACAAUCCUCGUUUGUUCAUGGAGAAACAAGACCACGGGUGACUCUGGGUAACUGAGACCUCAGGAAGUGAAACCUCAGAUAAAGGAUUCAACAGAGUUGGAUUGCUGAGAAUAAAAUUAUGGAUUUCUCCAUAAUGGACACACGCACUUUUUGUUUGUGCUGUUUCCUUUAGAAUGGACGAUGAGUCAAAAUUGUUCGUUUAUGCUUUUUCACAGAAGGAUCUUCUGUGUCUAGGAGGUGGCCUGCAGCAAUCUGACAUUCAGUGGCCCUCCUGUGAUUAAUAAGUGAACGGAUGAGCUGUUCUGAUAAGAACUGGGGAACUUUUGCCAUUCAAAAGCAAAUAGAAGAACUGGGAGAUUCCUCAACUUAGCUUUUCUUUUUUUGGUUCUAAAGUGACUGCGAAUGGAGGUAGAAGAGAAGAAAAGCUUUCAAAAACAUCUUCCACUAAGAAAAAUAUGUAUCUUCAUGAAGACCUAUCUGAGUAAAAUUACUAAAACAUAAUGGCUUUCUUGAGAUAGAAUGGAAUGAAAGGCAUAUUAGGGAGUAUGAAAGUAUGAAGAUUUUAUUAACAUACUUCUAGAAGUUUAUUAAAUAUCUGCACAGGAACUGUAAUUUGAGAUCAGUGGUGGAAAGAGAAUAAAGGAAUCGCGUGGACAUCAGCUCUGAGGCCUGUGGCCCCACUUGCUUCUGGGCUUUCUAUAGACAUUUGCUGGUGACCUGCCCAGGCAGGCUAGAGUACCCUUUCUCAUUGCACCCUGUGUUCCCAUCCUCCUUUCCUUCCUUCCUUCCUUCCUUUCUUCCUCCAUCCCUUAUGAAACCCUCGUUGUGCAGUUACUUAUUAGGUGCUGUGUGAGCGUCUGAAGUCUCCCCUCACCCACUUUUCCAUUUGGGCCACUUGGCCAGUGAUUGCAUCAGUACCAGGGUUCUAGGAGCCAUGCAGGGAUCCCCAGUGGGUAGAGCUGGCCGUAGCAUUUGGAAGGGAAGAGAGAGAACUGGAGACAAUGCCUAGGCACAAAAGCAGAGUCCAGACCCAGGCAUCAAGUGCAAAUCCAAAGGCUCUGGAUGAGUCAGUUCCCAGCAAAGGGACACAAGUAGGCACAGAAGGAAGGACAGCAGAAAACACUGGUCCAGAGAGGGCCUGCAGAGCCAGAAGCGAUGACGCAUCCAAGGUUGUGUUUGACUUCUGCACUGUCUCUGCAACCUGUAAGCACAUCUGAGCCAGUUCAGAAAGUAGGAAAACCAAAGUGUAUCAGAAAUGGCCUCUUAUCAUCAAGGAGAUUUUGGUCUAGAUUGCUUAUUGCUCAGGAGAAAUCACCACUUUUUAAAAAGAUAUGCUGAGAUAGGGUUUAGUUGGGAUAGAAAAGGUUAUUAAACUACGGGACACCCUUCCUUUACAGAGUGUAAGCACUACUACCCCUUUUGUUUGUCUGUUUUUCUUAUUUUUCUCACAGGUGCAGUUCCUGCAUUAGUAUUGAUAAAUGUGUGGCUGCUCCACUUGGAGUGUUUUCAAAGCAUAAAUCACAGCAUUGAUGGUGCUGUGGUUUGGCUUUUCCAGCCCUCUUAACAACGGUCUGAUGGACUUGGCGAGAGUCUAGCCACAUGUUCUGGCCUCUGUCACUCUCACGGCUGAAACGCAUGCACACCCACAGAUGGGGGCCCCGUGGUAGAGAUGUGCCUCUACUUGUCAAAUAGACUGAUUCCAAAUUCGGAAAUAUGCCUCAGGAAUCUAGAAAGAUAGAAAAGGAGUCUUCGUCACUGUAGGGUCUCAUUCACAAUAUGGAGGAGAGAUGGAGGGGAGUUUUUGGUAUAAAUUUUGCCUCAUAAAAAUUCUCCACGUUGUUUUUGUACUGUAUGAGGGUAGCGAGAAAUUAGUUGACGGUUAACAAUCAAGCUGGAGAAGAAUAUCCUCAAUUUUUCACAUGGAAAAUGAAAAACUACAACUCCUUCCAAGUAUAUAUAUGUUUCUUUUCUGAAGAUAGACGUGUGUGUGUUUGUGUGUAUCAUAUAACAUUUAUUUUUUGAUUUCUUUGUUAUCAACAGUAAAAAUACAGAAAAUGAUGCCAAA